CACGUAGGGCGCAAGCGUUGUCCGGAAUUAUUGGGCGUAAAGAGCUCGUAGGCGGUCUGUUGCGUCCGCUGUGAAAACCCGGGGCUUAACCCCUGGCUUGCAGUGGAUACGGACAGACUAGAGGUAGGUAGGGGAGAAUGGAAUUCCCGGUGUAGCGGUGAAAUGCGCAGAUAUCAGGUGGAACACCAGUGGCGAAGGCGGCUUUCUGGACGGUAACUGACGCUGAGACGCGAAAGCGUGGGGAGCAAACAGG
rnacentral:rRNA from 1 species